UCCAAACCUUCCGCGUCCACCCAGUCCGGUCCUGGGAGCAGAAGCGGCGACUGACUCUGCUCAGACACCCAAGGAGCAGGGCCAAUCGGGGACAAUUAUUGUUCCCAAGCUGUUCCGGAUGAAGAAAUUGUUCGUCAAGAAGUCCAGCCAAUAAGUGCACCUUUUCUGACUUAAUCCUUGGCAUGCUUUAGUUGAUUUGUUGUCUUCUGACUCUUGACUUGCCGUGUAGCACCGACUUUGGGAUUGUGGAUCUGGGUAAUCGCAAAACCAACAAAGUAGUCGACGAUAUUUCCCAUGUCCUGCCGGAUCCUCGGACUACUGUGAUCCAGUUAGAUCCAGCAGCCGAGGACUCUUCUGUCAACAAAGCAGGAGAUAGAUCCGCGGGAGUGGAGAAGGAAGUUGCGGGGAAAAAGAUCUCUACUGCUGAUGCUGAUGUGCAGUCAGUUGAACUGCCACGAACCCCGCCGACUACCCUGGAUGCUGACCAAUUAAUGCAUCAUGAGCUGCAAGAAAAAAUAGAGAAGUCGACAGAAAGGACGGAUUUUCUUGCAAAAGAAAUCUGGGAGAGUCAUAGUGUUCUGAUGGAACUGGCCAAACAAGUUGCCGACCAGGCUCAGCGGCUUCGACUAGCUGGUGUGAGCUUGCAGCUUUCCACUGCAGAAGCAUCAGCUCCAGAAGAUUGCGGCUCUUGAAAAAGCUUUUGAGGAGCUGAAGGCUGAGCACUAGAAGCAAGUCGAUCUCCUGCAGUCCAGAGUAGAUACUUUGGGAAAAGAUAAGAGUGCCCUCGAAGAGAGGAUCAAAAUACUGCAGGAGAAGAAUAGAAGUUUAUCAAAGGAGUAUAAAGAACUCAAAAAAUUGCUAGUAACAAAAGAGGAACUGGUGACUGAACUGAUGAAUAUUGUGUACCAUCACACAUAUGUUGUGGAGAAGCUGACCAAAGUCCAGGCUGAUUCCGACAAGCAGCAAGGAUCUGGCGGCUGAUUGGGACCUAAAGGCCAAGCAAGUAGCCGAUCUCGAAGCAGCAGUGCAAGAAGUUGUUAAGAUGAUCGACGAAGGCGGUCCUUGUGACAAGACUUUGGUGGAGCGUCUCCGUGGAGGACCCCAUAAGAUUUUCAGCUUUCUUUCUGAUACUUCUAGGCAGUAUUUAGCUCAUGCUCUAGGAUUAGUAAAAUCUUUCUGGCCUAUAGCGAACUUAGCCCUUAUUGGAGAUAGGAUGACAAACGGCUGUUCAGAGAAGAAAUUCUAUGAAUAUGUCAAAGAAAUGGAACCCAUCGCUGAUAAGGUUAUCAUUGCUUUGGAGUAGCCCUGAGAUGGAGAGGCUUGAACAUUUGCUAUGUUUG